rnacentral:rRNA from 1 species
GAUGAACGCUGGCGGCGUGCUUAACACAUGCAAGUCGAACGGUGAAGGCGGAGCUUGCUCUGCUGGAUGAGUGGCGAACGGGUGAGUAACACGUGAGCAACCUGCCCCCGACUUUGGGAUAACCGCCGGAAACGGCGUCUAAUACUGGAUACGAGCUGGGAUGCCAUCUUCAGCAGCUGGAAAGAACUUCGGUCAGGGAUGAGCUGGCGGCCUCCCAGCUUGUUGGUGAGGUAACGGCUCACCAACGCGUCGACGGAUAGUCGGCCUGAGAGGGUGACGGCCGACACUGGGACUAGGACACGACGCGGGCUACUACGGGGGGCAGCAGUGGGAAGUAUGGAAGCAUGGUGGAGCGACUGAUGGAGCAAGACGGAGUGAGGGACGACGGCCUUCGGGUUGUAAAACUCUUAAGGCGGAAAAAUGGCGAUGGUGAGGGUACCUGCAAAAGAAGCGCCGGCUAACUACGUG